rnacentral:lncRNA from 1 species
GGUCCCAGGGUCCUCUUGUCUCCGCCUUCAUAGCGGCAGCAUGUGGAACAUGUGUCCCAGAGCCCUGAAAGGUGCCCAGCUUGGAUGCCGAGGAUGGCAAUCAUGCUUUGGUUUUCCCUUGGUGCUUCUCAUGGAAGAAGCAGCUUUUAUGUGCGUCUUGGGCAGCUUCAUGAAGUCCAGUGAACAGUCCCCUGUCGCAGAUGCUGGGCAGCCAGCCAGCAUUUGAAAUCUGGCUUCUUGUCCUAGGGCCGCGAGCUUCUCAUGUACAAAUCGGGGCUUUUGGUAGAGAGCUGGGGUUUGGUCUCAUUUACCCACAUAGCUCUUCUUUCUUUGUUUUUUCCAACAUCCUUUGUAAAAGUUUGAGUUCUGAGCUCCCUCCGUCCCUCCAGCCCAUCCCCCACCCGCUGAGAAGACAAGGAGCGUGAUCCCACCCUCCAUGUAAAGUCGUGCAGAACACAUUUCCGUGUUAGGUUGCAAAAAAUGAAGAAAGUGAAAAACCGCCGGCUUCCAUCUGCAGGCAGAGUUCAUCAGCGCCUUGCCUGGUGUGGAGGGCCCUUCCCAUCCCAGGUCCUUCGGGGCCGUUUGGGCCUCUGCACUGCUGAGAAGAGCCAAGUCGCUCACGGCUGAUCAUGCAGUGAGCUCCCGGCUCUUCUCACAUCUUGUGAGUCUUCCCAGGCUUUUCUGGAGUUGGCCCGCUCAUCAUUUCUCAUGGCACAGCAGUGUUCCGUCACAAUCCCACACCACAGCUUGCUCAGCUGUUGCCCAGUUGAUGGGCGUCCCCUCCGUUUCCAGAUCUUUGCCACCUCGAGAAGAGCUGCUGUGAAUGUUUCCAUGCAGAUUGGUCCUUUCCCCUUUUCUUUGACCUCUUUGGGGUACAGGCCCAAGAGUGGCAUUGCUGGGUCAGACGGCGCGCCCAAUUUGAUCACCCUGCCGUCCCGCCCUGGCCCAGUCCGUGCAUCCUCCCAGGGGUGUUUUCUGAGGACUUGUUUCACUCUCACUUACCUGGAGUUUUACCGACAACUAAAUUGGAAGCCAUGGGAUCCAGAUGUUUGGGAUUCUGUAAAUCGGGGGGACGUGUUCAGAAAGGCUUUUGAAAAGGUGCUCGUCCUCUCCACAGGUAUCCUGAAAACAUCCUUCCUGACACAGAGGACGUGGAGCCCAAGCCCAUGGUCAUCGGCACCAACAACGUGUUUGAAGUUGGCUGUUACUCUGAAGCCAUGAAGAUGGGAGACAACAACGUCAUCGAAUCCAAAGCCCACGUAGGGAGGAACGUGAUUUGACCAGUGGCUGCAUCAUCGGGGCCUGCUGCAACCUGAACACCUUCGAAGUGAUCCCCGAGAACACCGUCAUCUACGGAGCCGACUGCCUGCGCCGGGUUCAGACAGAGAGACCUCAG